CGUAAAGAACCUGCCUCAUAGACUGGGACAACUAUUGGAAACGAUAGCUAAUACCGGAUAACAGCAUUAACUGCAUGGUUGAUGUUUGAAAGUUGGUUAUGCUAACACUAUGAGAUGGCUUUGCGGUGCAUUAGCUAGUUGGUGGGGUAAAGGCCCACCAAGGCGACGAUGCAUAGCCGACCUGAGGGGGUGAUCGGCCACACUGGGACUGAGACACGGCCCAG
rnacentral:rRNA from 1 species